rnacentral:rRNA from 1 species
CAGCAGCCGCGGUAAUUCCGGCGGCCCGAGUGGCGGUCACUAUUAUUGGGCUUAAAGCGUCCGUAGCCGGGUUGGGAAGGCCUCCGGGAAAUCUGGCCGCUUAACGGUCAGAAUGCCGGAGGAUACUCCCAGCCUAGGGAGCGGGAGAGGCCGAGGGGAUUCCCGGGGUAGGGGUGAAAUCCUAUAAUCCCGGGAGGACCACCUGUGGCGAAGGCGCUCGGCUGGAACGCGUCCGACGGUGAGGGACGAAGGCCAGGGGAGCAAACCGGAUUAGAUACCCGGGUAGUCCUGGCUGUAAACGAUGCGGACUUUGUGUCGGACAAGCUAUGAGCUUGUCCGGUGCCGGAGGGAAACCGUUAAGUCCGCCGCCUGGGGAGUACGGCCGCAAGGCUGAAACUUAAAGGAAUUGGCGGG